rnacentral:rRNA from 1 species
AGCGAACGCUGGCGGCAGGCCUAACACAUGCCAGUCGAACGAACCUUUCGGGGUUAGUGGCGGACGGGUGAGUAACACGUGGGAACGUGCCUUUAGGUUCGGAAUAACUCAGGGAAACUUGUGCUAAUACCGAAUGUGCCCUUCGGGGGAAAGAUUAAUCGCCUUUAGAGCGGCCCGCGUCUGAUUAGCUAGUUGGUUGAGGUAAUGGCUCACCAAGGCGACGAUCAGUAGCUGGUCUGAGAGGAUGAUCAGCCACAUUGGGACUGAGACACGGCCCAAACUCCUACGGGAGGCAGCAGUGGGGAAUCUUGCGCAAUGGGCGAAAGCCUGACGCAGCCAUGCCGCGUGAAUGAUGAAGGUCUUAGGAUUGUAAAAUUCUUUCACCGGGGACGAUAAUGACGGGACCCGGAGAAGAAGCCCCGGCUAACUUCGU